CGCCAACCAGCUAGCCCAACCCAACAAAAUCAACAACUUAAUAUUUAUACCCCCAAAAACACCCACCCUUUUAAAACAAACCAUUUUACCACCCUAGUAUGGGCGACAAAAAAGGAAUUAUGGAGCAAUAGAGAAAGUACCGCAAGGGAACGCUGAAAGAGAAAUGAAACAACUCAGUGAAGCCUCAAAAAGCAGAGACUACCCCUCGUACCUUUUGCAUCAUGAUUUAGCUAGAAUACUCCAAGCAAAGAGCACUUUAGUUUGGAACCCCGAAACUUGGUGAGCUACUCCAAGACAGCCUAUUAAUAGGGCAAACCCGUCUCUGUGGCAAAAGAGUGGGAAGAGCUUUGAGUAGAGGUGACAGACCUACCGAACCUAGUUAUAGCUGGUUGCCUGAGAAAUGGAUAGAAGUUCAGCCUCCCGGAUUCUCUCUUCACCGAGACCUUGCUCCCACAAGAUGCUUAAGAAGCCGAGAGAGUUAAUCGAAGGGGGUACAGCCCCUUUGAAAUAAGAUACAACUUUUACCAGGAGGAUAAAGAUCAUAUUAAUUAAGGUAACAUGCCUCGGUGGGCCUAAAAGCAGCCAUCCCUAUAGAAAGCGUUAAAGCUCGAGCAUACCACCAACCCAUAUAUUUAGAUAACUUAUCUUAAUCCCCUAAUACUAUCAGGCCGUCUCAUGCCUACAUGAGAGCGUACAUGCUAAUAUGAGUAAUAAGAGAGCUACGUCUCUCUCCUUGCACACGUGUAAAUCGGAACGAACCCGCACCGAAAAUUAAUGGCCCCAAAUAAAGAGGGGAGUGAAAAACAAGUAAGCAACUAGAAAACCAUUCAACAAAAACCGUUACCCCCACACUGGUGUGCCCCUAAGGAAAGACUAAAAGAAAGAGAAGGAACUCGGCAAACACACUAAGCCUCGCCUGUUUACCAAAAACAUCGCCUCUUGCAAAACUAAGGAAUAAGAGGUCCAGCCUGCCCUGUGACUAUAUGUUUAACGGCCGCGGUAUUUUGACCGUGCGAAGGUAGCGCAAUCACUUGUCUUUCAAAUGAAGACCUGUAUGAAUGGCACAACGAGGGCUUAACUGUCUCCUUUUUCAGGUCAAUGAAAUUGAUCUCCCCGUGCAGAAGCGGGGAUAAACACAUAAGACGAGAAGACCCUAUGGAGCUUUAGACACCAAGGUAUAUCAUGUUAAACACCCUCACAUAAAGGAUUAAACCAAGUGAACCCUACCCCUAUGUCUUUGGUUGGGGCGACCGCGGGGAAAUGAAAAACCCCCACGUGGAAUGAGAAUACUAUUCUUAUACCCAAGAGCUGCAGCUCUAAUUACAGAAUUUCUGACCAAUAAGAUCCGGCAACGCCGAUCAACGGACCGAGUUACCCUAGGGAUAACAGCGCAAUCCCCUUUUAGAGCCCAUAUCGACAAGGGGGUUUACGACCUCGAUGUUGGAUCAGGACAUCCUAAUGGUGCAGCCGCUAUUAAGGGUUCGUUUGUUCAACGAUUAAAGUCCUACGUGAUCUGAGUUCAGACCGGAGUAAUCCAGGUCAGUUUCUAUCUAUGAUAUGUUUUUUUCUAGUACGAAAGGACCGGAAAGAAGAGGCCAAUACUUAAGGCACGCCUCUCCCCUCCUAUUGAAAUUAACUAAAAUAGGCAAAAGGGCGUAACCCUGAGCCUAAGAUAAUGGCAU
rnacentral:rRNA from 1 species